CCUGGAUGACCAACAACUAUCUGAUGCUCAACUCAGACAAAACUGAAGUUCUUGUCCUCGGUCCUAAACAUCUUAGAGAGGCAUUCUCUAAUAAUUUCGCUAUGCUAGAUGGCAUCAGUCUGGCAUCCAGCCCCACUGUGCGAAAUCUGGGAGUUUUUUUUGAUCAGGAAUUGUCCUUUAGCUCCCACAUUAAACAAAUCUCUAGGACAGCUUUUUUCCACCUGCGCAAUGUCUCAAAAAUUAGACCCAUCCUGUCUCAGAGUGAUGCGGAAAAACUAGUCCAUGCCUUUGUUACCUCUAGGCUGGACUACUGUAAUUCUCUGUUAUCAGGCUGCUCCAGUAAGUCUUUAAGGACUCUUCAGCUGGUCCAAAAUGCAGCAGCUCAGGUAUUGACUAGAACCAGAAGAAGGGAGCACAUCUCUCCUGUCUUAGCCUCUCUUCAUUGGCUCCCUAUUAAAUCUAGAAUUGAAUUUAAAAUCCUCCUUGUGACAUAUAAAGCGCUUAACAGCCAGGCUCCAUCAUAUCUCGACGAGCUUGUUGUACCGUACUUUCCGUCUAGACUGUUACACUCACAGUCUGCAGGCCUGCUCGUUGUACCAAAUGUCUCUAAAAGUAGUAUUGGAGGAAGCGCUUUCAGCUACCAGGCACCUCUCCUCUGGAAUCAUUUACCGCUCGAGGUUCAGGGGGCAGACACCCUCUCAACUUUCAAGAGUAGACUUAAAACGUUCCUCUUUGAAAAAGCUUAUAGCUGAUUUGAACCAGCUCUUAGUUAUGCUGCUAUAGGUCUAGACUGCCGGGGUUAUCUGGCACACUGAGCUAGAGUCUGUCUCUAGCUCUUCUUUAGAUCUUUAUGUCCCAUAUAAGUCACUAACCAGUUUUCUGUCUCUUUGAGUGUCUCUGAGUCUCUUAGCUGCCACUGGACUAAUGCUGCAGACGGUCUGCUGCGGAACUGCCUGACCCCAGCUGCAUUAUCCCUGAUUGUCCACCCUGGGCCCUGAGCUCCUCCAUCUCUUUGGCUCCUCUGGACCGUUGCUGCAGACACCCCCUGCCCCUUGGUUGCUCCGGACUGAUGGCUGCAGCAGACCUGCCUGACUCUAGCCGCAUCAUCUAUGAUUGUCCGCCUCAGGCCCUGAGCUCCUUCUUCUCUUGGAUUCCUCUGGACUGUUAGCCGCAUCGUCUAUGAUUGUCCACCUCAGGCCCUGAGCUCCUUCUUCUCCUGGAUUCCUCUGGACUGUUACUGCAAACAUGAUCAUCAGCCUCACUGACAUUACGAUUAGACCUCCUGACUGUAAUCACAUUUAAUUAAUUUAACAUUGUCCAUAAUCACUCAUAUCCUAACCCUGUAAACUGAACUCAUUUUGUUUCACCAUUACAUGAGCUGUUGUUGUUGUUGCUGUUGUUUCUGCUGUUCCCUGUCUCUCUCUCACCCUCGUUCUCUACCCCCCCCCCCCUUACUCAUUCUCUCUCUUCUUCCCCUUAUCUUGUUCUCUCUCUCUCCCCCUGCCCUCUCCCCUCUUCUCUCUCUCCUCUCUCUCCCUCCAUCUCUCUACAUUCCUCCCCAACCCAGCAGCGGCAUGGUGGCUGUCUAACAUGAGUCUGGUCUUGCCCAAGGUUUCUGCCUGUUAAAAGGAAGUUUUUCCUUGCCACUGCUACUCAUGUUAGUUGAGAUGGGCCAAAACCCAGCUUAGGUUGGUUCUUGAUCAUCAAACAAUGAGCGUGGUCUAGACCUGCUCUUGUUCUUUGAAAAGCGUCUUGAGAUGACGACUGUUGUGAAUUGGCACUAUAUAAAUAAAAUUUGAUUGAUUGAUUGAUUACUGCAACUCUUUGUAUGUAGGGAUUAGCCAGGCUUCCCUUGCCCGCCUGCAGCUUGUGCAGAACUCUGCUGCACGUCUCCUGACACAGACCCACAGGCGUAAGCACACCACCCCCAUCCUGGCAUCCUUACACUGGAUCCCUGUACAGUACAGAAUAAAUUUUAAGCUUUUAAUAUUUGUUUUUAAAGGCCUGAACAGUCUGGCUCCACCCUACAUUUCCAAGAUUCUCCAGCCUUACUGCCUCCCCCGACCCUUAAGAUCAGCUGAUCAGCUGUCACUGACAGUCUCCAAUACAAGGCUGAAGCUCAGGGGUGACAGAGCAUUUACCGCAGCUGCUCCCAAGCUCUGGAACGAGCUGCCCUUGAUAAUUAGACAGGCCUCCUUUUUUCCUGUUUUUAAAUCCCUUUUAAAAAUGCACUUUUAUUCCUUGGCUUUUAAUACAUUUUAGUGUUAUUUUGUUUGUUAUCAUCUCAGUACUUGCCAUGAGCCUGCUUAUUUAUAUAUUUAUUUAUUUAUUUAUUGCAUUUAUGUAUUUUUGCUCGCUCUAUCUUGUUCUUUGCUUGUUGUAUUUGUUUUUAUGUCGCAAUGUACAGCACUUUGGCUACCCC
rnacentral:lncRNA from 1 species